AUACGGAGGAUCCGAGCGUUAUCCGGAUUUAUUGGGUUUAAAGGGUGCGCAGGCGGCCAUUUAAGUCAGCGGUUAAAUCGUGGGGCUCAACCCCAUUCUGCCGUUGAUACUGGGUGGCUUGAUUGCGGUCGAGGUUGGCGGAAUUCGUUGUGUAGCGGUGAAAUGCAUAGAUAUGACGAAGAACACCGAUUGCGUAGGCAGCUGACCAGACCGCAAAUGACGCUCAUGCACGAAAGUGCGGGGAUCGAACAUGAUUUGAUACCCUGGUAGUCCGCAUAGUAAACGAUGAAUACUUGUUUUCGGCGAUAUAAUGUCGGAGGCAAAGCGAAAGCGAUAAGUAUUCCACCUGGGGAGUACGCCGGCAACGGUGAAACUCAAAGGAAUUGACGGG
rnacentral:rRNA from 1 species